rnacentral:rRNA from 1 species
CUACGGGACGCUCCAGUGGGGAAUAUUGCACAAUGGGCGAAAGCCUGAUGCAGCGACGCCGCGUGGAGGAUGACGGUUUUCGAAUUGUAAACUCCUGUUAAGAGGGAAGAAAGACGAAUGGUUAAUACCUGUUCGGGAUGACGGUACCUCUAGAGAAAGCUCCGGCUAACUUCGUGCCAGCAGCCGCGGUAAUACGAAGGGAGCGAGCGUUAUUCGGAAUUACUGGGCGUAAAGGGCGUGUAGGCGGUUUAUUAAGUCAGUUGUUAAAGCCCAUGGCUUACCCAUGGAUGGGCAAUUGAUACUGGUAAACUAAGAGGGCAAGAGAGAGAAGUGGAAUUCUCGGAGUAGCGGUAAAAUGCGUAGAUCUCGAGAGGAACACCGAUGGCGAAGGCAGCUUCUUGGCUUGUACCUGACGCUGAGGCGCGAAAGCGUGGGGAGCAAACAGGAUUAGAUACCCCGGUAGUC